rnacentral:snRNA from 1 species
AUCGCUUCUCGGCCUUUUAGCUAAGAUCAAGUGUAGUAUCUCUCUGACACAAUGGUUCACAGUGCGGUUGCUUCUGUUCCUUUAGAUUCGUGAAGCCCCUCAUAAUUCAUAGUGCAUCUUUAUAUUUUGCAUAGUUGAGAAAUUAUAUACUUUUGAACUUGUGUUUUUAGAGUCCCUUUCCACAGCCUUAAGGGCUCUCAUGAA